rnacentral:rRNA from 1 species
GGGCGCUGUCUCAGAUUAGCCAUGCAUGUGUAAGUAUAAGCGAUUGUACUGUGAGACUGCGAACGGCUCAUUAUAUCAGUAAUAAUUUCUUCGGUAGUUUCUUUUAUAUGGAUACCUGCAGUAAUUCUGGAAAUAAUACAUGCUGUAAGAGCCCUGUAUGGGGCUGCACUUAUUAGAUUGAAGCCGAUUUUAUUGGUGAAUCAUGAUAAUUGAGCAGAUUGACUUUUUUGGUCAAUGAAUCGUUUGAUUUUCUGCCCCAUCAUUUGUCAACGGUAGGGUAUUGGACUACGGUGACUUUAACGGGGGACGGAAAGUUAGGGCUCGACUCCGGAAAGGGAGCCUGAAAAACGGCUACCAUAUCCAAGGUUAGCACCAGGCGCGUAAAUUACCCACGGGGGACUCCACAAGGUAUUGACAAAAAAUAUCGAUGCAAAGCGUGUAUGCGUUUUGCAAUCGGAAUGAAAGCAAUGUAAAACCCUCAUCAAGGAUCAACUGGAGGGCAAGUCUGGGGCCACCACCCCCGGUAAUUCCAGCUCGUCAAAGCCGUUAUCAGUCUAGCAUUGAGUCGCAGUUAAACUUCGUAUUUGAUUCCGGCAUGGCCGACGGUCUUCCUGAAUGGAUGAUGUCUGACGCUGGCAAUCUUUCAUGCCUAUUGAUAGAAAUCUUCACGUGAUACCAAACGAAGUCCAAGCAAGUCCGAAGGACCGGUAAGGUAUAUAAGGAAUGAUAAGAUAGAACUGGGCUCAAUGUGUUGUUGACAGCCUUAAGAAAUGGUAAAAGGAAACAUUGGCGUAUCGAUAUUAGGAGCUAGAGGUAAAUUUCUGGAUUUCGAAAGAGCGAACUAACCGAAGCAUUACCAACGCAGUUUCUAUACAGAAAAAAAUGAAUCGGAUGUAGUACUCGUAGUCUGAAACGUACGAAUACGAACUGCAUGUGUGCAUAGACCCUAAAGACAGACGCGACCUGGAUUUUUGGGGUUUUUUUUAAUGGCCCUCAGCAGCAGCACAUGAGAAAUCAAAGUCUUUGGGUUCCGGGGGGAGUAUGGUCGCAAGGCUGAAACUUAAAGGAAUUGACGGAAGGGCACCCCCCGGGAGUGGACCCUGCGGCUUAAUUUGACUCAACCCGGGAAAACUUCCCAGGUCCAGACAUAGGUAGGAUUGACAGAUUGAGAGCUCUUUCAUGAUUUUAUGGGGGGGGGGGCAUGGCCGUUUUUAGUUGGGGGAGUGAUUUGUUUGGUUAAUUCCGUUAACGAACGAGACCUCGGCCUACUAAAUAGUGCGGGGUAGGGCAACAUAGUACGUUUUAACUUUUUAGAGGGACAUGUCCGGUUUACGGGCAGGAAGUUCGAGGCAAUAACAGGUUUGUGAUGCCCUUAGAUGUUUUGGGCCGCCCGCGCGCUACACUGAUGGGUUCAUCGGGUUUUAAUUUUAAUUUUUGGAAUUGAGUGCUUGGUCGGAAGGCCUGGCUAAUCCUUGGAACGCUCAUCGUGCUGGGGCUAGAUUUUUGCAAUUAUUAAUCUCCAACGAGGAAUUCCUAGUAAACGCAAGUCAUCAGCUUGCAUUGAAUACGUCCCUGCCCUUUGUACACACCGCCCGUCGCACCUACCGAUUGAACGGUCCGAUGAAACCAUGGGAUGUUUCUGUUUGGAUUAAUUUUUGGACAGAGGCAGAACUCGGGUGAAUCCUUAUGUUAAAGAAUGUUC